rnacentral:rRNA from 2 species
CAAGUCGAGCGAACUGAUUAGAAGCUUGCUUCUAUGACGUUAGCGGCGGACGGGUGAGUAACACGUGGGCAACCUGCCUGUAAGACUGGGAUAACUUCGGGAAACCGAAGCUAAUACCGGAUAGGAUCUUCUCCUUCAUGGGAGAUGAUUGAAAGAUGGUUUCGGCUAUCACUUACAGAUGGGCCCGCGGUGCAUUAGCUAGUUGGUGAGGUAACGGCUCACCAAGGCAACGAUGCAUAGCCGACCUGAGAGGGUGAUCGGCCACACUGGGACUGAGACACGGCCCAGACUCCUACGGGAGGCAGCAGUAGGGAAUCUUCCGCAAUGGACGAAAGUCUGACGGAGCAACGCCGCGUGAGUGAUGAAGGCUUUCGGGUCGUAAAACUCUGUUGUUAGGGAAGAACAAGUACGAGAGUAACUGCU